rnacentral:RNase_P_RNA from 1 species
UGAGUAAACCAGGUGAUCGCGGGUGUGAUUUUUUUAAAGAUUACACCUGAGGAAAGUCCGGGCUCCACAGGGCAGGGUGCUGGGUAACACCCAGUGGGGGCGACCCUAAGGAAAGUGCCACAGAAA